rnacentral:rRNA from 1 species
UACGAAGGGGGCUAGCGUUGUUCGGAAUCACUGGGCGUAAAGGGCGCGUAGGCGGCUUUAUAAGUCGGGGGGUGAAAGCCUGUGGCUCAACCACAGAAUUGCCUUCGAUACUGUAGAGCUUGAGACCGGAAGAGGUAAGUGGAACUGCGAGUGUAGAGGUGAAAAUUCGUAGAUAUUCGCAAGAACACCAGUGGCGAAGGCGGCUUACUGGUCCGGUUCUGACGCUGAGGCGCGAAAAGCGUGGGGGAGCAAACAGG